AGAUUGAACGCUGGCGGCAUGCCUAACACAUGCAAGUCGAACGGGAGUAGCAAUACUCUAGUGGCGGACGGGUGAGGAAUACGUAGGAAUUUGCCCUUAAGUGGGGGAUAACCCGGGGAAACCCGGAUUAAUACCGCAUGACCUCGAAAGAGCAAAGUGGGGGAUCGCAAGACCUCACGCUUUUGGAGAAGCCUACGUCGGAUUAGCUAGUUGGUGAGGUAAUGGCUCACCAAGGCGACGAUCCGUAGCUGGUCUGAGAGGAUGAUCAGUCACACCGGAACUGAGACACGGUCCGGACUCCGUACGGGAGGCAGCAGUGGGGAAUAUUGGACAAUGGGCGCAAGCCUGAUCCAGCAAUCGCGCGUGUGUGAAGAAGGCCUUACGGGUUAGUAAAGCUAACGUUUAAGUAGG
rnacentral:rRNA from 1 species